UACGUAGGGUGCGAGCGUUAAUCGGAAUUACUGGGCGUAAAGCGUGCGCAGGCGGCUUUGCAAGACAGGCGUGUAAUCCCCGGGCUUAACCUGGGAAUGGCGCUUGUGACUGCAGUGCUGGAGUGCGGCAGAGGGGGAUGGAAUUCCGCGUGUAGCAGUGAAAUGCGUAGAUAUGCGGAGGAACACCAAUGGCGAAGGCAAUCCCCUGGGCCUGUACUGACGCUCAUGCACGAAAGCGUGGGGAGCAAACAGG
rnacentral:rRNA from 1 species